rnacentral:rRNA from 1 species
UACGUAGGGUGCAAGCGUUGUCCGGAAUUAUUGGGCGUAAAGAGCUCGUAGGCGGUCUGUUGCGUCGGCUGUGAAAACCCGAGGCUCAACCUCGGGCCUGCAGCCGAUACGGGCAGACUAGAGUUCGGCAGGGGAGACUGGAAUUCCUGGUGUAGCGGUGAAAUGCGCAGAUAUCAGGAGGAACACCGGUGGCGAAGGCGGGUCUCUGGGCAAUAACUGACGCUGAGGAGCGAAAGCGUGGGGAGCGAACAGG